GACAGAGGGGGCAAGCGUUGCUCGGAUUUACUGGGCGUAAAGGGCGCGUAGGCGGCGCAACAAGUCACUUGUGAAAUCUCCGGGCUUAACCCGGAGCGGCCAAGUGAUACUGUCGUGCUAGAGUGCGGAAGGGGCUACUGGAAUUCUCGGUGUAGCGGUGAAAUGCGUAGAUAUCGAGAGGAACACCUGCGGCGAAGGCGGGUAGCUGGGCCGACACUGACGCUGAGGCGCGAAAGCCAGGGGAGCGAACGGG
rnacentral:rRNA from 1 species